GUGCCAGCAGCCGCGGUAAUACGUAGGCAGCGAGCGUUGUUCGGAAUUACUGGGCGUAAAGAGUGCGUAGGUGGUUGACUAAGUUUGGUGUGAAAUCUCCCGGCUUAACUGGGAGGGUGCGCCGAAAACUGGUUGGCUAGAGUGUGGGAGAGGGACGUGGAAUUCCUGGUGUAGCGGUGAAAUGCGUAGAUAUCAGGAGGAACACCUGAGGUGUAGACGGCGUCCUGGACCAUUACUGACACUGAGGCACGAAAGCGUGGGUAGCAAACAGGAUUAGAAACCCCGGUAGUCC
rnacentral:rRNA from 1 species